AUCGAACGCUGGCGGCAUGCCUAACACAUGCAAGUCGAGCGAGCUGCGGACGGGUGAGUAAUGUAUGGGGACUGCCCGAUAGAGGGGGGUAACCACUGGAAACGGUUGCUAAUACCGCCUAUUAUUGGAUAACCCAUAUUGGAUUAGCUAGUUGGGGAGGUAAUGGCUCACUAAGGCGACGAUCCCUAGCUGGGCUGAGAGGAUGAUCAGCCACACGGGAACUGAGACACGGCCCAGACUCCUACGGAGGCAGCAGUGGGGAAUAUUGCACAAUGGGCGCAAGCCUGAUGCAGCCAUGCCGCGUGUAUGAAGAAGGCCCUAGGGUUGUAAAGUACUUUCAGUGGGGAGGCGUUACCGGCAGAAGAAGCACCGGCUAACUCCGUGCCAGCAGCCGCGGUAAUAC
rnacentral:rRNA from 1 species